rnacentral:rRNA from 1 species
AUUGAACGCUGGAGGCAGGCUUAACACAUGCAAGUCGAGCGAGCGGCGGACGGGGGAGUAAUGUCUGGGAAACUGCCUGAUGGAGGGGGAUAACUACUGGAAACGGUAGCUAAUACCGCAUACCAUCCGAAGAGCCCAGAUGGGAUUAGCUAGUAGGUGGGGUAAUGGCUCACCUAGUCGACGAUCCCUAGCUGGUCUGAGAGGAUGACCAGCCCAACUGGAACUGAGACACGGUCCAGACUCCUACGGGAGGCAGCAGUGGGGAAUAUUGCGCAAUGGGCUCAAGCCUGAUGCAGCCAUGCCGCGUGUUUGAAGAAGGCCUUCGUGUUGUAAAGCACUUUCCGCGAGGAGGCGUUACUCUCAGAAGAAGCACCGGCUAACUCCGGGCCAGCAGCCGCGGUAAUUC